rnacentral:hammerhead_ribozyme from 1 species
GUCCAGCUGACGAGUCCCAAAUAAAAUGAAACGUGAGUCCUGGAU